rnacentral:rRNA from 1 species
GUAGGUGGCAAGCGUUGUCCGGGAAUUAUUGGGGCGUAAAGCGCGCGCAGGCGGUUCUUUUAAGUCUGAUGUGAAAGCCCACGGGCUCAACCGUGGAGGGUCAUUGGAAUCUGGAGAACUUGAGUACAGAAGAGGAAAGCGGAAUUCCACGUGUAGCGGUGAAAUGCGUAGAGAUGUGGAGGAACACCAGUGGCGAAGGCGGCUUUCUGGUCUGUAACUGACGCUGAGGCGCGAAAGCGUGGGGAGCAAACAGGAUUAGAUACCCUGGUAGUCCACGCCGUAAACGAUGAGUGCUAAGUGUUAGGGGGUUUCCGCCCCUUAGUGCUGCAGCUAACGCAUUAAGCACUCCGCCUGGGGAGUACGGCCGCAAAGGCUG